CAGUAGCCGCGGUAAUACGGAGGGCGCGAGCGUUACCCGGAUUUACUAGGCGUAAAGGGCGUGUAGGCGGCCUGGGGCGUCCCAUGUGAAAGGCCACGGCUCAACCGUGGAGGAGCGUGGGAUACGCUCAGGCUAGAGGGUGGGAGAGGGUGGUGGAAUUCCCGGAGUAGCGGUGAAAUGCGCAGAUACCGGGAGGAACGCCGAUGGCGAAGGCAGCCACCUGGUCCACUUCUGACGCUGAGGCGCGAAAGCGUGGGGAGCAAACCGGAUUAGAUACCCCCGUAGUCCCUGUCUCUUAUAC
rnacentral:rRNA from 1 species